CAGGAGGAGGAGGAGGCCAGGGCCUGGUCGGCGCUUUGCGUGGCGGCAGGCGGAGCUUGCGCUUUUUUGCGAGGGGUGAGCCCCAGGAGCUUUACCAAGAGGGAGCCUCGCUGCUUCUGAAGUUUGGAUAAGGAGGCACGUGUAUGACUGCGCUUGCUCCAGGGCUCUGAUGUGUCGGACACGCGCAUGACCACGCAGGUCCCUGCGGAGAGGAGG